rnacentral:lncRNA from 1 species
AUGUUGCGACAACAGCCACCAUGUAAAGCAGCUGUAACUGGACGUAACAUACACAUGAACACAGGUAAAAAAAGGAUGUUGCGACAACAGCCACCAUGUAAAGCAGCUGUAACUGGACAUAACAUACACAUGAACACAGAUGCAGCUGCUGUAAUGAUGCUGUGGUUGUCAGAUGAAAUAGGACUAUGGCUGUUGGGCUGCGAGGACACGACCGAGACGUGAAAGUGGACUCUCAAAACGUCCAAUAGCAGUGUGUGUGUGUGUGUGUGUGUGUGUGUGUGUGUGUGUGUGUGUGUGUGUGUGUGUGUGUGUGUGUGUGUGCGUGUGUGUGCGUGUGUGUGUGCGCUUUAUGUGUGAAAUUUAAUUAUAUUUAAUGCUAUCAGUUUAAACACACUUUGAGGCUACUCUCUUACAAAACCGAUGUCGUUUUGAUGACUGUUACACUACACUUAAAUGCUGUUUUUAAUAUGGAAAUUGUUGGCAAAUAUUUGUGUGAAAAACAUAGGUCCAUGUUAGAGUCUGUUACUUCAUAAAUGUUUAUUAACUUGAAGAUCAGUUUAUAAUACUGACUGUGCAAUGAUGUCAGAGUAUAAAAUCGGUGCUGUAAAAGUAUUUUUGUAAAGAUUAUUUUGUGAAAGAUGACAUUUUGUAAACAUAUUUUACCCUGUACCUGGCCAGAAAUGCAUUUAAUUUCACCCCGUUUGAUAAUUGUUACACAACGUGCUGCUCCUUCCUCUCGGUGUCACGUUGACUUCGAUCCCUUCACUUGUGUCAAACGAAUGCGAGCAGCUGCACGAUGACUGUCAGCAUGUAGAAACAUUUUUAUACUCUUGUUCCUCUGCUGAGUACAUGUCAGGCUUUGCUUUGUGCCACAGAGCCUCGGUGUGUCAGAAUCUCAUGUUUAGUUUGGGUGUGAGAGAAACAUGGAGCAUGGCGGCAGAGGGGGUGAGUUGGAGACUAAAAAAAUGCUGUUGCAAAUAGGCUUUCUGGGUCGGAGUGGGGAACAGAAAUCACAUACUGCUGAGAAAAUCGGGACAGCUGGUUGUGCUGAAACAUCCAGCGUCUGUAAACAUGUCUGACUUAUUCAUGUGCAUGGAAAUGUUAAAAAGACGAUGGAAAUAAAGCGAUGGA